rnacentral:lncRNA from 1 species
ACUUACAUGUUUCAGCCUGACAGUGUUGUAUUCCAAGUCAAGGCUACAGACAAAGGAAAUCCUCCGAGAAGUUCAACUAAUGUAAUCAUAACAAUAAACAAUUGCCAAUGAUGAUGGUCAGAACCCACCUUAUUGGAGUACAAUCAAUCCAAUGCCUUUGAUGUUAAUGAAACAAGUCGACAGGAUACGUUAGUCGGUAGUCUAACAGCCAGAUCACAAAUAGCGAUAAGUUCAGGUGUCUCUUUUUUCUGCUAUUGCAAAUGGUCAAGCUGGAAGUCAAGUACCGCCAUUCUAUAUUCAGCAAGAUCUGAC